UACAGAGGUCUCAAGCGUUGUUCGGAUUCAUUGGGCGUAAAGGGUGCGUAGGCGGCGCGGUAAGUCGGGUGUGAAAUCUCGGGCUUAACUCCGAAACUGCAUUCGAUACUGCGGUGCUUGAGGACUGGAGAGGAGACUGGAAUUUACGGUGUAGCGGUGAAAUGCGUAGAUAUCGUAAGGAAGACCAGUGGCGAAGGCGGGUCUCUGGACAGUUCCUGACGCUGAGGCACGAAGGUCAGGGGAGCAAACGGG
rnacentral:rRNA from 1 species